GCGACCGUUUUAUUAACGCUUUCGUACGUAAUUACUCUUCAAAAUGGGGAAGGAUCGGACGAAAAUGUAAACAAACCGUAGAUGCAAUCUUUUGAAAGAAAAGCUCAGUCAUCUGAGAUGCAGUGUUGCAGCACUGAAAAGCAUUGGGUGCCCAUCAUAGAGUGUUUCUCUUUGCCUGCAAUCAGGAUACAUCAACUGACC